rnacentral:rRNA from 1 species
AACGAACGCUGGCGGCAGGCUUAACACAUGCAAGUCGAACGCCCCGCAAGGGGAGUGGCAGACGGGUGAGUAACGCGUGGGAAUCUACCUAGUUCUACGGAACAACACAGGGAAACUUGUGCUAAUACCGUAUACGCCCUAAGGGGGAAAGAUUUAUCGGAAUUAGAUGAGCCCGCGUAAGAUUAGCUAGUUGGUGGGGUAAUGGCCUACCAAGGCGACGAUCUUUAGCUGGUCUGAGAGGAUGAUCAGCCACACUGGGACUGAGACACGGCCCAGACUCCUACGGGAGGCAGCAGUGGGGAAUAUUGGACAAUGGGCGAAAGCUUGAUCCAGCCAUGCCGCGUGAGUGAUGAAGGCCUUAGGGUUGUAAAGCUCUUUCAGUAGGGAAGAUAAUGACGGUACCUACAGAAGAAGCCCCGGCUAACUUCGUGCCAGCAGCCGCAGUAAGAC